CUGACGGCCAGUCACCAGCAACUCAGGGUCCAACACUGAGGGCAACACCACGGUCUGCUGUAAUAAUCUGGAUAAUGGGACAGAAUGCACUCACAGUAAAUUUGUAGGUUAUGCCAAAUUGGUCAGGGAGAGCAGUCAAUCAACUGGAGUUAGAGCAGUGGUGUUUCUGGGAGGGUGAAGGUGCUCUCCAUUUGACUCUUCUGAAAGGGUACCUGAAUAUCAGGUUCAGUUGAAGACUUCUCAGUAUACGGAAGGUAUUAAUACACUGGAGCAAGUCCAGCUGAGGACUACCAAAGCCAAUGGGAAUUGGAGCACAGUGGGGAGAGGUUAAGGGAACUGGAUUUGUUCAGCCUGGGGAAGACAGGACUGUCAUUUCUAUCUGAAAAUACCAACUGGCCUGAUGGGGAGAAGACAGAGCCAGGCUCUGCUCAGCCAGCAGUAGGUGAAGAGGCAAUAGGCACAAACUGGAAGAUCGAAAUUUCAACUCAAUUAAAGGAACAUGCUUUUUGCCAUGAAAAUAGUCAAAUACUGGAACAAGGACCCAAAACGAUUUCCACCCUUGGAGGUAAUCAAUACUCAACUAGUGAAGGUCUGGACCUGCUUUGGCCAGGAGAUUGGAGUAGACAAGGGAUUGUUUGUGGUCUUCUGUAGCCUACACAAUUUUGUGGUUCUAUGAUUUCACGUAGCAGUGUCUGUGGAGUUACUGCAGUAGUGGAGAAGUGCAUGUGGACAACAAGGACCAACGUGUUCAACUGGGACGCCAGAUGGACGUGAGUCAAAAAGGUCACCGCGUGGUACAAAUGGCAGUCACAGCUGGGGAUAUGAAGAAUAAUGGCCUGCAGAGCACAUGGAUUAACCUUUACAUUUAUUAGGAGAUGUGAUCCAGCAAGAAUGACUCCAGCAAGAAUCACGUGUCCUUGGAGAAAUGCAGACACAAUGAGGGUGAGGAUGAAAGCAGCCCUUGCAUUUGUAGGAUGCUAAUAAAAAGAAUCCGGCCUGAUCUCUAUUUCUGUGCUGAACAGAACUGGAAAUAGUGGGUGUGAACUGCAGCAAAGGGAUAAAAUCAUAGAAUCAUUAAGGCUGGAAAAGACCUCUAUGAUCAUCAAGUCCAACAGUCAGCCCACCCAAACCAUACCCACUCAUGGAAUCAUUAAGAUUGAAAAGAUCUCCAAGAUCAUCCAGUCCAGCCAUCAACCCAUCAUCUCCAUUAAUGAUGAAUCAAUGAGAAAAGCUUUUAAAUAGCAGACAUGGUGAAACUUUGGGAUUUCUGAGAAAGUUGUGGAGUUCCCUUUCUUGUAGGGAUUUAAGAACAAGUUAGACAUGCACUUGUCAUGAAUGAUUCAGAAAGAGUUGCUUCUGCUUUGGAAGACAAAUGUAGAUACGUUGUCCACUGUAAAUCUCUGCGGAUCAAUAGUUGGGUGAACUAUUCUGGUUUCAUAUGGGCAUAUCCUUCUUGGAGACAGCAUGUAUUCUGGUAACCCUUGCAUUUCUUUAUUUCUCCCCUUUCAUUCCUAAUGCAAUAGAUCAAGUAAUAAGAUAUAGUGAUAGAACUGAACAUUUCUAAAGAGAUCUCUAAAGUUAUACCAAUGGAUCUAUGUGUCUGGUUACCUGGUUCCAUGCUGAUGUUUAACCUCCCAGUAAAAAUCCCUUCCUUAAGCUUUAGGAAGCUUUAGAUGGCCUUUAAAGGUCUCUUCCAACUCCAACCAUUCUAUGAUCCUGUGAUAUUGCCUGACUGGGUGCAGCAAGCAGCCUUUGCCCACAUCACCCCAUAAAGCUUCACAGUAAAUGAGAAUGUGUUGCUAUGCGGCUCUAUGUGGCUGCUUGCCAGUUUUGAUCUUCGAGUGAUCAGCCAGCCUCAGGAAACAGGAUCUGUAAUUACGUCUACUUUACACUGAGAAAACAUUAUUCGUGCCAUAAAUUCUUUGAGGUAGGGCUUGUAUCUCUUGGAUUUUAUUUAAUCCCAAGAAUGCUGAUGCUUGACAAACAGAGACUGGCUUCACUCUGUUUAAGCAUUAAUCUGCCCAGUUUCUCUUCAAAUCCAGCUAUCUUCUGACAUCCUGUACUCACAAAUAUCACAUGCCAGAUGCUUCCUUAAUGACACUCUGGUCCCUAACUGAUUUAACUGCUAUUUAUGUAAGAUCAUCCCCUCUUAUCCUCUUAUCUAUCUUUUUUUCCCCAUGUUUAUUCCUCUCCAAACCACCAAACAUCAUACAGUAAGUUUAAUGAGACCCUGAUAUUCUCUUCCUUUGCAGCACACAACAGAAUGGGAAAUUGGUACCCAGUAGUUACUUUCUCUCUCUCAAGGCAGUCAUUAGCUCAUUCUCUUUACCAAGUCACCAAUUGUGGAGGGGAUGCAUACAAUGAAGCAUCAUCUGUUAAAGUCAUAAUGUGUUCAUCUUACAUUUUUGUAAAACCAACUUUCUUCCAUUGUUGUUCCAUUUUCCCUGUUUGCUGCAAAAUGCUACCAUGUUGAGUCAAAUGUGUGAAAAAAUAAAUGAAUGGCUUUCUGCAGAGUUUGGGUUGGUCUGCCAAUCAUUGCACCUUUACAGUGACUUGGGGGUAUGUUAGCACUCUUCCAAACAAGCAUUCUUGGACGAAGUAAAACCAACAUGCUGCCAUAGGCAUAGACUCUGAAAAAAGCAAGGAAUGCAGCCUGGAAGGUGUGGCAGACACAGAGUUUCAACAAAAUGUUAUUUGAAAUUCAAGGUCAUAAUUAUAAACUUCUAUUUGAAAAGUCACAUUCAGUAUUCUCACUCAGUUUUUGCAGUUACAGACAGACUGACAGACAAGUCCACGAAGUCCAACUCAAAGCUGAAUCCUUGACAAGGCAAGACAAUACAUUAAUUGUUUCUUGAGCAAAACCAGCUCUAUCGUGACUAAACAACAGAAAAAGACAUGGGAUGGACGCUGUUCAGGGCUGGAGGGCUAAUUAAAACUAGAGGAAACUGGGUGUGCAGCUACCUGAGUGAAUAAAUCAGCCAUGUAUUCUGCUGGAGAUAAUCAUUUACAGGACUUGUUUGGAUCUGCAUACCAACUUUCAUGCAGGUGCAAUGAAUGAGGAAAUCAAUUAUCUGUCAUUGUUUAACACUGACAUCACCUCCUCUACAAAGCUCCUUGUCUAUCUAAAUGUGCAGAAAUCUCAUCCCUCUAGAUCUUCAGUUGGGUCAGCUUUUUCUGGAAUUACAAAUGGGACCCCAAGUUGAUUGUUGUGUAUAAAUGGACAAUGAGAGACAGUAAGAACGUGGAAUACACACCAAAAAGAUGCCAUUUCAUUAAAACUACCAAGCUCCACUGAGUCUCUUUCCUUGAUAUUUAUGCCCUUCUUCUGCAGUGUUGAAUGCUCUACUUAAUCUGAAGGCACAGGAAGGACAAGAAAAUCAUCAUGGAUUAACCAAAAGGAGGACACGUUUGACCAACUUGAUGAGCUUCUGUAAUGAAACGUCCAGCUUGUUGGAUGAAGAGGAAGCAGUGCUCAUUGUCUUCCUGGAUGUUGAUAAGGUGUAUUCUGUUCUCCAGAAGAUCCUCCUAUAGAAACUGUUGGUGUAUGGACUGGAAGAGGAUGAAAACUGCUUGAACGGCCUGGCUCAGAUGUCAGUGGAUAAGUCUAGAUGGAGUACGAAUGAGCUGACCUUGAGAUCAACCCAUGCAUUAUUACCUGGGUUGGGGUUGGACAUCCAUCACUAGACACCUACAGAAAUCAGUUGCCUGGGCUAAAGGAACUGAAUCACAGUCAAACAUGGGUGCCUACACACUAAGAGACACCAAGCUGCAGCCUGGACAUUAUUUAAAGCAGAUGAAUACCAAAAGGAGUGCCAGGAAUCAGUCCAUCUCCUCAUCCACAGGACCAGGGAAGAUGAAAAGAUGCUGAGCUGAUCAAAUUAUAUCUCAGUAUAGAUGGAUCUAUCUCCAUAAAUAUAGAAAACAAGUGAUCAAACAAAAAAAUUGUUUUGAUCAUCAAAUCUGAUUCCAGUGUCUGGAAAUAAAAUAUCCCAGCAAGAAGACAAGCGUGCUGAAUGUGUUUCUCAGAUUUUUGAAGAAAAAAAUCACAUAC
ensembl:lncRNA